rnacentral:rRNA from 1 species
CAGCCGCCGCGGGAAUACGUAGGUGGCAAGCGUUGUCCGGAAUUAUUGGGCGUAAAGCGCGCGCAGGUGGUUUAAUAAGUCUGAUGUGAAAGCCCACGGCUCAACCGUGGAGGGUCAUUGGAAACUGUUAAACUUGAGUGCAGGAGAGAAAAGUGGAAUUCCUAGUGUAGCGGUGAAAUGCGUAGAGAUUAGGAGGAACACCAGUGGCGAAGGCGGCUUUUUGGCCUGUAACUGACACUGAGGCGCGAAAGCGUGGGGAGCAAACAGGAUUAGAGACCCCAGUAGUCCCUGUCUCUUAUAC